GAUUAAGGGCGCGCGGUGGAUGCCUAGGCUCUCGGAGGCGAAGAAGGACGCGAUAAGCCGCGAUAGUCCACGGCGAGGUGCAAGUAACCCUUGACCCGUGGGUUUCCGAAUGGGGCAACCCGGCCGUCUAGAUGACGGUCAUGCAUUAUCAUGCAGGCGAACGCGGGGAACUGAAACAUCUCAUUACCCGCAGGAGAAGAAAACAAAAUGUGAUUCCCCCAGUAGUGGCGAGCGAACGGGGAAGAGCCCAAACCGGUAGCGUUUCGGCGAUACCGGGGUCAUGGGACCACGCCAUUCGAAACAAGAUGAAGUGCAAUUACCUGGAAAGGUAAGCCGCGGAGGGUGAUAGCCCCGUGCACGUCAAUUCUUGUGGAGAUAGUGGAAUCCCGAGUAGGGCGGGACACGAGAAAUCCUGCCUGAAUUCGCCAGGACCCCCUGGCAAGGCUAAAUACUCCCGAGAGACCGAUAGUGAACCAGUACCGCGAGGGAAAGGUGAAAAGUACCCCGAGCAGGGGGGUGAAAUAGACCCUGAACCCGCGCGCCUACAAGCGGUCGGAGCUGCCUUGUGCAGUGACGGCGUGCCUUUUGCAUAAUGAGCCUACGAGUUAGUCGUCACCAGCGAGGUUAAGGGCUUCAGGCCCGUCAGCCGAAGUGAAAGCGAGCCUUAACAGGGCGUCAAGUUGGUGGCGCUAGACGCGAAACCUUGUGAUCUACCCACGAGCAGGUUGAAGUCGCGGUAACACGUGAUGGAGGACCGAACCGGUAAACGUUGAAAAGUUUUCGGAUGACUCGCGGGUAGGGGUGAAAGGCCAAUCAAACUGGGAAAUAGCUCGUACUCUCCGAAAUGCAUUUCGGUGCAGCCUGUGAUGUUCUGUUCCAGAGGUAGAGCUACUGGUUGGACGCGAGGGCUUCACCGCCUAUCAAAUCCGGAUAAACUCCGAAUGCUGGAACACGAAAUCAUGGAGUGAGCCCGCGGGUGCUAAGGUCCGCGGACGAGAGGGAAAGAACCCGGACCACCGGCUAAGGUCCCGGAUGGACAGUUAAGUUGAUCAAACGAGGUGGGAUCGCUGAGACAGCUAGGAUGUUGGCUUGGAAGCAGCCAUUCAUUUAAAGAGUGCGUAACAGCUCACUAGUCGAGCGAUCCCGCGUGGAUAAUACACGGGCAUUAAACUGUCAACCGAAGCCGUGGGGUCAGCGAAAAGCUGACCGGUAGGAGAGCAUUCCUGCCAGCGUUGAAGGUCACCCGCGAGAGUGACUGGAGCGGCAUGAAAAGCAAAUGUAGGCAUAAGUAACGAUAAUGGGGGCGAGAACCCCCCACGCCGCAAGACCAAGGCUUCCCCGGCAAUGUCAAUCAGCCGGGGGUCAGCCGGCCUCUAAGGCUAACCCGAAGGGGGAUGCCGACGAGAAACGGGUUAACAUUCCCGUGCUUCUCGUCACCGUGACGCGGUGACGGGGUGAUGAAUGGACCGCGCGCUGACGGAAUAGCGCGUUGAAGGCCGUACCCUUCGAGGGUGGUAGUCAAGCACGCCACCCGAGGCGACAGCCGAUAGUACCACGAGACUCCGGUCGAGUGGAUAGCGUCCAGGCAAUUUACCCCCGAGAAAACCCGCUAAACUUCAAGUGACGAGGAACCGUACUGUAAACGGACACACGUGGUCGGGUAGAACAUACCAAGGCGCUCGAGUGAUUCAUGGUCAAGGAACUAGGCAAAAUAGUCCUGUAACUUCGGGAAAAAGGACGCUCUAGUGAUAGAGCCGCAGAGUAAUGGCCCAGGCGACUGUUUACCAAAAACACAUGGCUAUGCCAAAUCGAAAGAUGACGUAUAUGGCCUGACACCUGCCCGGUGCCGGAAGGUUAAGAGGAGAGCUCAUCGGAAACGAGAAGGUUUGAAUUGAAGCCCCGGUAAACGGCGGCCGUAACUAUAACGGUCCUAAGGUAGCGAAAUUCCUUGUCGGGUAAGUUCCGACCUGCACGAAUGG
rnacentral:rRNA from 1 species